AUUGAACGCUGGCGGCAUGCCUUACACAUGCAAGUCGAACGGCAGCGCGGACUUCGGUCUGGCGGCGAGUGGCGAACGGGUGAGUAAUGUAUCGGAACGUACCAUUGAGUGGGGGAUAACGUAGCGAAAGUUACGCUAAUACCGCAUAUUCUCUCCGGAGGAAAGCAGGGGACCGCAAGGCCUUGCGCUCUUUGAGCGGCCGAUAUCAGAUUAGCUAGUUGGUGGGGUAAAAGCUCACCAAGGCGACGAUCUGUAGCGGGUCUGAGAGGAUGAUCCGCCACACUGGAACUGAGACACGGUCCAGACUCCUACGGGAGGCAGCAGUGGGGGAUUUUGGACAAUGGGGGCAACCCUGAUCCAGCCAUGCCGCGUGAGUGAAGAAGGCCUUCGGGUUGUAAAGCACUUUAAGUCGGGAGGAAGGGCUGUAGGUUAAUACCCUGCGGUUUUGACGUUACCGACAGAAUAAGCACCGGCUAACUUCGUGCCAGCCGCCGCAGUAACAC
rnacentral:rRNA from 1 species